AUUCCAUGAUGGGGACAUUCUAGGAUGUAGUCUUGGAAGCGCUCCCAUGCCUCUGGAACGGAUUCAUCAUGUUGUUGCUAAAAACUUGUAAUCCUCCCACAGAGAGC
rnacentral:snoRNA from 1 species